AUGUCCCAGGGAUUCUGUGAUAAGUAUGAGAAACUAAUCCAGGAGUUUUGGUGGGGAGAGGAAAAUGGACAUCGGAAAGUGCACUGGAUGUCAUGGGAUUGAAUGGUCAAACCGAAGAGAGGGGGCGGCAUAGGCUUCAAGGAUAUGAAUCACUUUAACCAAGCCUUGCUGGCCAGACAGGCUUGGAGACUACUGCAAAGACCAGAGUCUCUAUGUGCACGAGUCUUGAAGGCCAAGGACUACCCACACGGUGAGCUGAUUGACACUGUCUUUGCUUCAGAUGCCUCUCCCGUCUGGCGAGGGAUCGAGCAUGGACUGCAACUCCUAAAAGCAGGGCUAGUCUGGAGGAUUGGAAACAGAGAGAAGGUUCAUAUCAAAAGAGACAAUUGGAUCCCAAGGGAGGAGGGGCUCCUAUUGGGGAACGUAGCAGAAAUUCAAAAUUUUCCUACGUGUCACCAAGAUCUAUCUAUGGAGAGACCAGCAACGAGUAGAAAGAGAGUGCAUCUACAUACCCUUGUAGAUCGCUAA
rnacentral:rRNA from 1 species